GUUGUGGAAUCCCGGCUUUGCACGUGCUACAUCUAGUGAAAUGUGAUUGCUGGUCAUUACUGUAUUGGAGUUUAACAAGACAACAAGGCGGUCAAUAGCAGAAGACAGCAACACGACAUAUCCGGUGGAUCAGCCACCUUACGGCCUCAAGAUGGUCUAUAUCUGCUAUGAUAUACAACCGUAAAAGAACUUCUGUGACUCUAGAGGAAAAAAAAAACAACUCUACAGCGUGUGUGGCGAUUUUAAUGCGUCAAAAUUAUGACUAUAUUCUUACAUUAUGAAAACUUUCUCCUGACAGUGUUUAGUAUGUGAGCAAAAAAGAACAGGAAGAAGAAAACAAUACUUAUUUAGUGUUGUAACAAUGGAGUUCUCUAUAAUACUGAGAUUGACUGCACUGAAUGCCUUAUGUUUCCUAGGAAUACUUAGCAAAGAUAUCAUGGCGCUGGAGCCCAGCUUUGAUGUCCCGAUCGUCAACAUCACUGUUGUGGCGGGAAAGACGGCUGUCCUCCCGUGUUCCAUCGACUCCCUGGGGGACUUUAAGGUGGUGUGGACGGAUCAGUUUUCUACGUUGCUGACAUUAGGUGAAAAACGAAUUAUAGACGACGAACGCAUGGUUUUAGACCGUCCACACACAAAAGACUGGAAUCUUUUACUCCAUGACGUCAAAUACGACGACAGAGGGCGCUAUACCUGUCAAAUAAAUACAAUGCCAAUCAAAACUAAAACCAUAGAACUGAUUGUUUUAGGUACGGUAUUCAGUUCUACUUUUUUCAUUUUUUUAACCUUUCUCAUUACCAUAUGACGUCAUCUCUAUUUUUAGGUAGUAUGGACCGAUCGCUGGUCCACUUUGCUGACUUAUGGGGACCGUCGAAUCAUCAACGAUGAACGAAUAUCUGUAGAAAGGCCCCGUUUGAGGGACUGGAAUUUACUUAUUCGUGAUGUACAAUAUAGUGACCAGGGCAAUUUUGUAUGUCAGAUCAACACACUACCCAUAAAAACAAAUUCAGUCCUCCUCAACGUGUUGGUUCCACCCACAAUAUUGGACUCCUCUAGCAAUGACCUAACAGCAAAAGAAGGUGACACUGUAACCUUGACCUGCAACGUCAGUGGUGUACCAAAGCCAACGGUCCAGUGGUUCAGGAAACCACACGCCGACAGUAGGGACCAGCAUAAAGAAAGAGUGAAGACGAGUGAAGGUCACUAUGGUAACCGGCUGUCAGAUGACCACUGCUUAUACACAGUCAGUCAUCGAGGGGUAGGCAUUAACGGCGAAACCCUUAUUAUUCACAACAUCACGCGAUACUGUGACGGGAUUUACGAGUGUGUGGCGUUCAACGAUGUUCCUCCCGCCGUCAACCGGGUCAUCAGUGUGAUGGUGGAAUUUCCGCCAGAGGUGUGGCUCGUCAACCAGAAACUGGGACAGUAUGUGGGUAAAGAAACAAUUCUGGAGUGUAAGGUCACAGCCUUCCCUCAGGCUGUGUCUAUCUGGAAAUUCCAGAAUCAAGAUCUUUUCAAUUCGUUCAAACAUCGCAUCGAUGUGUACCAAGACAGGGGGCAUAUGCUCACUCUCAGUCUGCGACUCCCGAACGUGACACGAGAGGACUUUGGACAGUACUCCUGUUACGCUAGCAACAGCUUUGGUAUGGACGAGGAAACGAUGAUCUUAUAUGAGUAUUUCCCACCUACAACCCUCACACCGGCUGUCACUGCAACGGCAAUUCCAAGACACACAACCACAAUAAACAAGAGGAACAGACUCUUCAAAUCGACCAUAUAUAACGAGAACGAGCUGAUUCCUUACAACCGAACCCUGAACGGCCAUAAUCCCGGUGCCCCUUACUCCGGGAGGCAAGGAUACAAUACUGGUCAGACAAACAGUCAUCACGUGGGACUUCUGAUAUUUUCCUCGAUCCUUUCCUCCAUCUAUUUGUUUGAUACUUCUUGUUUUAUGAUGUUAUGAAAGAGUGCCGUUCGUAUUAGAGCCUAGCAGUAUUAUUUUUAUCAAUUGUUUCUGUAGAUUGUAUGAUUUUUUUAUGUUUGACAGUUAUACGUUGAUACUGUAUUUAAAACCAUUUUUGAAAUAAUGAUAGCUUUAAGAAUGCAUGUCAUCUUGCGAAAUGCAAUCGAUUAUUUAAUGGUGUUUGUCAUAAUGUUUGAAAUUUUUGUUUACAUAAUUCCUUUUGAUGUCAUUUACAUCAAAUCAAACAAUAAAAUUCAGAAUACUGUUUAGCAAAUCGAUUCAAUGGUGCAACAUUGUUACGGAAAGACAAUUUGCAAAAGUUACCUGUUUUGAUUCAGACAAUCGCAUCUUCUUGGGUCUUCCAAGCAAAUACAGCACCAUAUCCAAACAUUGGAAAUAUUCGAGAAGUUGCAAAUAAGACUAGCGCUUUGUAUUUAUUGAGUGUACAUUUGCCCCUGAAAGAAUUUCUAAUUGAAUAGCUAUAUAGUCAAACGAUAAUGUUUUGUGUGCAUCAUUAAUCUAGUUAGACGUCAUUAAAUUUGAAUCCACCUCCUGCAAGAUAUAUUCGACAGUUCGAAUUUCGACAUUUUGAAAUUGGUAUGCGGUUUCAGUUCUGAUAUUGCAUAUUGACUUGUAAAGUUAUCUAUUUGAAGACUAUCUGCCUUAAUAUUUCAAAAAUAUAGUUAUGGCAGAUUUCAUGAACUUAUGCCGAAUUAGAUAAACAUCAUGUCAUAUUAAUUUUACAUAUAACAACAGGUAAGGUACAUCACAUCCUUUUCAGCCAUUCGCUAAUGGUCUACAAAUAUCAUAGUACCUCUGGUUAUAGUUUGAUAUUCCCCAAGAGAAAUUAGUUUCCCAAGAUCUUACAAAUAGGCUAGGAAAUCGGUUUGGGAACAAAAUUUAGUAAAUUUAUAAAAGUUUGAUGGGAAGGAACUUGUAAUUGUUACCGGAACAUUUUUUCCUUAAGAGGAUCAAAAGUUGAAAUAAGAGUUUGAGCUUUGAGAAAUUAACAUACAAUUUAAUCAUCAGUUAUCGUUUGAACGAUCUUUUGUGUGUGGAUACUUUCAUUUUACUCAUUAAAGAAAUGGUUGGGAUAUGAAAAAAAAACAGCACUUGAUUUUAAUUAUAAUAAUGUGAAGGCAUGAAAAAUUGUUCAUUCGUCAUCAGACUUUGUAAAUACUUAUAAUUUUUUUAAGAAAACGGGGAAAUUUUUUUUAAUAUGAAAUAUAUUUCACAUUCAGACCAUGCCAAAAUUCCCUACACAUGCAUUAUCACAAUGUUGUGGUUGCCCUGCGGUAGAUAGUUGGACAUUUGACACAUCACUCUGACUUUUAUUGUGCUGCUGUUUUUUUAAUCAUACAUGUAUAUGUUUGUAGUUGUUUUAUAUACUAUGUCUUGCUAUUGACCGAGGCUAUACUUACAAAAAGUAGAAAUCAGCAGUAAAGUGUGGAAAAAAUCAUUCAUUUCGGUUUCUUAUGCCAAUAAACUUAUUUUUAU
rnacentral:misc_RNA from 1 species